rfam:Pteropus alecto contig94689, whole genome shotgun sequence.
GUCUACAGCCAUGCCACCCUGAACAAGCCGAUCCUGUCUGAUCUUGGAAGCUAAGCAGGGUCGGGCCUGGUUAGUACUUGGAUGGGAGACCACCUAGGAAUACCAGGUACUAUAGGUG